GCUAAAUGCGGAAGAGAUAAGUGCUGAAAGCAUCUAAGCACGAAACUUGCCCCGAGAUGAGUUCUCCCUGACUCCCUGAGAGUCCUGAAGGAACGUUGAAGACGACGACGUUGAUAGGCCGGGUGUGUAAGCGCAGCGAUGCGUUGAGCUAACCGGUACUAAUGAACCGUGAGGCUUAACCUUACAACGCCGAAGGUGUUUUG
rnacentral:rRNA from 1 species